rnacentral:rRNA from 1 species
AACGAACGCUGGCGGCGUGCUUAACACAUGCAAGUCGAACGAGACCUCCGGGUCUUUUUGCGCAGGUGUGCGUAACGCGUGGGAACCUGCCCGUGAGUUCGGUAUCCUUCCCCGUAAGGGGUGCUAAUACCGGAUAAGGUCUUCGGACCAAAGAUUUAUUGCGUUUGGAUGGGGGCGGGUUAGUUUAGCCAGUUGGUAGGGUAAAAGCCUAGCAAGGGGACGAUCCAUAGCUGGUCGGAGAGGAUGACUAGCCACGCUGGGACUGAGACACGGCCUAGACGCCUACGGAAGGCUGCAGUGGAGAAUACUGUAGGCUGGGCGCAAGCGUGAUCCAGCAAUGCGGGGUGUGACAUGCAGGCGUUAGGGAUGCAAAGCUGCUUUAGCCGGGGUGAGAAUGACAGUACCGGGAGAAGAAGCUCCGGCUAACUACGUG